rnacentral:rRNA from 1 species
UACGGGGGGGGCAAGCGUUGUUCGGAAUUACUGGGCGUAAAGGGCUCGUAGGCGGCCAACUAAGUCACACGUGAAAUCCCCAGGCUUAACCUGGGAACUGCGUGUGAUACUGGAUGGCUUGAAUCCGGGAGAGGGAUGCAGAAUUCCAGGUGUAGCGGUGAAAUGCGUAGAUAUCUGGAGGAAUACCGGUGGCGAAGGCGGCAUCCUGGACCGGCAUUGACGCUGAUGAGCGAAAGCUAGGGGAGCAAACGGGG